rnacentral:rRNA from 1 species
CGUAGGCGGUUUAAAAAGUCUGAUGUGAAAUUCCGGGGCUCAACCCCGGAGCUGCAUUUGAAACUUUUAGACUAGAGGAUGGUAAGGGAAAACAGAAUUCCACGUGUAGCGGUGAAAUGCGUAGAUAUGUGGAAGAAUACCGGUGGUGAAGACGGUUUUCUGUGCCAAACCUGACGCUGAGGCGCGAAAGCUAGGGGAGCAAACA